rnacentral:pre_miRNA from 14 species
UUGCUAUUCGCCAUGCCCCCAUCCUCAAAAAUUCCGAGAACCACGAAUUGAAUGUGGUCUCGGGCUUCUUUGAGGAUAAGGGCUUCGGGUCAGCU